UGAUCUAGACAACUCUGUUACUUCUUGCUUGCCAGAGAGCACAGCUAUGGCUGCUUCUCCUUGACUACCCACUCUGGCUUGGUGGGAGCGUCUCUGCCAUCCAGCUUCUCCAUCAACUUUGUCAACUUUGAGCCUAAGCAGGGCCACUGAAUGAGAGGCGAGGAAAUGAAGCACCAAAAAGGAAUUCAUCCAACAUCAUAACUGGUGGAGUUGGAAUUCAGACUCUGUGCCUCCAGAAAGCAAUACUGCCCAACACAUAUGAAAAUUCCUAGCAGCAACUGCCCCUGACCUUUUCAGCUCCCAGACUGCUGGCUGUCAACCAACAUGCAACUGGCAGAAAAAUAGAAACCUUCUCUUGGGGGAGAGAAAAGAUCUAAGAUUCUGAUAUCAGGAAGCCCCCAAGGAAUAGAACGAAGAUCUUGACACUGAGAGUCUCCCAAGGAAUUGGCCCAGCUAGAUGGCCCUACAAUGAAGACUACAGUCAACCAGCUACAUGGACACACAUGGAGUUUCUAAUCAGCUUUCUGGCAGACAACUUUUGGUUUGAGCAAACAGCCAGAGAAUACCAGGACAAGGAAAGCCUCUGCUAUGACCAAGAUAUUCAGAAAAUAAGAGAAGUUGUUGGAUUUAUAAAAGAAGAA
rnacentral:lncRNA from 1 species